rnacentral:rRNA from 1 species
UACAGAGGUCUCAAGCGUUGUUCGGAUUCAUUGGGCGUAAAGGGUGCGUAGGGGGCGCGGUAAGUCGGGGGUGAAAUUUCGGAGCUUAACUCCGAAACUGCAUUCGAUACUGCCGUGCUUGAGGACUGGAGAGGAGACUGGAAUUUACGGUGUAGCAGUGAAAUGCGUAGAUAUCGUAAGGAAGACCAGUGGCGAAGGCGGGUCUCUGGACAGUUCCUGACACUGAGGCACGAAGGCCAGGGGAGCAAACGGG